UUUAACCCUGCUAGGAACCAAGGCGUACCCUUCUUGGCUCAGGUUAAAAAGGCAGCUUUAUGAGGCCCCAAGAAUGCACCUGAUGGGCUCCCUUCAUUUUUAUGGCACAGAAAAGCUCUCCAGAUGUCUCUUCUUCUACUAGUACUACUUCUUCUUCCUCCUCCUCUUCAACUGAAUUGGACUGGCAAGAACUCAAUAAACAGGUGCAACUAACAAAUGGGGCACUGGUUUAAUCAACUUCAUAAGACAGUUUGGUUGUCUGAGCAAACAUCUGAAAAAAGAACCACAAGUGUCUCAGAAGAGGUAGUGACUAAAGAUGCCUUCAUUAUCCAAAAGGAAAUCCAGC